UUGAACGCUGGCGGCAGGCCUAACACAUGCAAGUCGAGCGGUAGCACAGAGAGCUUGCUCUCGGGUGACGAGCGGCGGACGGGUGAGUAAUGUCUGGGAAACUGCCUGAUGGAGGGGGAUAACUACUGGAAACGGUAGCUAAUACCGCAUAAUGUCGCAAGACCAAAGUGGGGGACCUUCGGGCCUCAUGCCAUCAGAUGUGCCCAGAUGGGAUUAGCUAGUAGGUGGGGUAACGGCUCACCUAGGCGACGAUCCCUAGCUGGUCUGAGAGGAUGACCAGCCACACUGGAACUGAGACACGGUCCAGACUCCUACGGGAGGCAGCAGUGGGGAAUAUUGCACAAUGGGCGCAAGCCUGAUGCAGCCAUGCCGCGUGUGUGAAGAAGGCCUUCGGGUUGUAAAGCACUUUCAGCGGGGAGGAAGGCGAUAAGGUUAAUAACCUUGUCGAUUGACGUUACCCGCAGAAGAAGCACCGGCUAACUCCGUGCCAGCAGCCGCGGUAAUACGGAGGGUGCAAGCGUUAAUCGGAAUUACUGGGCGUAAAGCGCACGCAGGCGGUCUGUCAAGUCGGAUGUGAAAUCCCCGGGCUCAACCUGGGAACUGCAUUCGAAACUGGCAGGCUAGAGUCUUGUAGAGGGGGGUAGAAUUCCAGGUGUAGCGGUGAAAUGCGUAGAGAUCUGGAGGAAUACCGGUGGCGAAGGCGGCCCCCUGGACAAAGACUGACGCUCAGGUGCGAAAGCGUGGGGAGCAAACAGGAUUAGAUACCCUGGUAGUCCACGCCGUAAACGAUGUCGAUUUGGAGGUUGUGCCCUUGAGGCGUGGCUUCCGGAGCUAACGCGUUAAAUCGACCGCCUGGGGAGUACGGCCGCAAGGUUAAAACUCAAAUGAAUUGACGGGGGCCCGCACAAGCGGUGGAGCAUGUGGUUUAAUUCGAUGCAACGCGAAGAACCUUACCUGGUCUUGACAUCCACAGAACUUUCCAGAGAUGGAUUGGUGCCUUCGGGAACUGUGAGACAGGUGCUGCAUGGCUGUCGUCAGCUCGUGAUGUGAAAUGUUGGGUUAAGUCCCGCAACGAGCGCAACCCUUAUCCUUUGUUGCCAGCGGUUAGGCCGGGAACUCAAAGGAGACUGCCAGUGAUAAACUGGAGGAAGGUGGGGAUGACGUCAAGUCAUCAUGGCCCUUACGACCAGGGCUACACACGUGCUACAAUGGCAUAUACAAAGAGAAGCGACCUCGCGAGAGCAAGCGGACCUCAUAAAGUAUGUCGUAGUCCGGAUUGGAGUCUGCAACUCGACUCCAUGAAGUCGGAAUCGCUAGUAAUCGUAGAUCAGAAUGCUACGGUGGAUACGUUCCCGGGCCUUGUACACACCGCCCGUCACACCAUGGGAGUGGGUUGCAAAAGAAGUAGGUAGCUUAACCUUCGGGAGGGCGCUUACCACUUUGUGAUUCAUGACUGGGGUG
rnacentral:rRNA from 1 species